GACAGAGGCCACGAACGUUGUUCGGAAUCACUGGGCAUAAAGCGCACGUAGGCGGCUGGGUCCGUCCGAUGUGAAAGCCCCCGGCUCAACCGGGGAAUUGCAUCGGAUACAGCCCGGCUUGAGGACGGUUGGGGUGAGUGGAACUCCUGGUGGAGCGGUGAAAUGCGUAGAUAUCAGGAGGAACACCGGUGGCGAAAGCGGCUCACUGGACCGUAACUGACGCUGAGGUGCGAAAGCUAGGGGAGCAAGCGGG
rnacentral:rRNA from 1 species